UACGAAGGGGGCUAGCGUUGCUCGGAAUCACUGGGCGUAAAGGGUGCGUAGGCGGGUCUUUAAGUCAGGGGUGAAAUCCUGGAGCUCAACUCCAGAACUGCCUUUGAUACUGAAGAUCUUGAGUUCGGGAGAGGUGAGUGGAACUGCGAGUGUAGAGGUGAAAUUCGUAGAUAUUCGCAAGAACACCAGUGGCGAAGGCGGUUCUCUGGGACGGUACUGACGCUGAGACGCGAAAGCGUGGGGAGCGAACAGG
rnacentral:rRNA from 1 species